rfam:Pongo abelii chromosome 7.
GAGGGUAUAGCUUGGUGGAAGAGCAUCUGACUACACAUCAAGAGGUCCCUGCUGCAAGUCCAGGUGUCUUCU